AAUGAACGUUGGCGGCGUGGAUUAGGCAUGCAAGUCGAGCGAGUCUACCGGAUAGCAAUAUUUGGUAAGUCGAGCGGCGUAAGGGGCAGUAAUACCUGGGAACGUACCCUGAGGUCGGGGAUAGCUGCUAGAAAUGGCGAGUAAUACCCGAUGAUCACGAGAGUGCAAAGGCUUGCCGCCUUCGGAGCGGCCCAGGCGAUAUUAGCUAGUUGGUGGGGUAAUGGCCUACCAAGGCAUAGAUGUCUAGCGGGUGUGAGAGCACGACCCGCGCCACUGGCACUGAGACACUGGCCAGACACCUACGGGUGGCUGCAGUCGAGAAUCUUCGGCAAUGAGCGCAAGCUUGACCGAGCGACGCCGCGUGCGGGAUGAAGGCCUCGGUGUAACGCUUGUCGAAGAAGGAACUUGAUCGAUCGGAGAACAAGACGGCUAAGUCGUGCCAGCAGCCGCGGUAAAGUGUGUGUA
rnacentral:rRNA from 1 species